rnacentral:tRNA from 1 species
AUGAAAGCUGGCAGAGUUAAUGCGCUUGAUUUAGGAUCAAUUUAUAAGUAUAUAUACUUGCUUUCAUAC